GGGAUUGUGGCUCAGAGGUAGAGCCCUCGCCUAGCAUGUGUGAGACACUGAGUUCGAUCCUUAGCACCA
rnacentral:tRNA from 1 species